rnacentral:tRNA from 1 species
AGCAGAGUGGCCUAAUGGAAAGAAUAUGGGCUUAAGAGUUAGAGGACCUGGGUUCUAAUCCCAGCUCUGCCA